rnacentral:lncRNA from 1 species
GUAAUGUUAUUCCUUCGUUUCGUAUACUUCUUAUUACAGUGCAUGAAAUGCCCUGUAUUGUUAUUCCUUCGUUUCUUAUACUUCUUAUUAUUACAGUGCAUGAAAUGCCCUGUAUUGUUAUUCCUUCGUUUCUUAUACUUCUUAUUAUUACAGUGCAUGAAAUGCCCUGUAUUGUUAUUCCUUCGUUUCUUAUACUUCUUAUUAUUACAGUGCAUGAAAUGCCCUGUAUUGUUAUUCCUUCGUUUCUUAUACUUCUUAUUAUUACAGUGCAUGAAAUGCCCUGUAUUGUUAUUCCUUCGGUUCUUAUACUUCUUCUUCUUCUUAUUCUUUGUACCGACUUCUGCACUUAAUUCAGCUCGAACCACUUAACUUAAAACUCCGUUCAAACUUUGGCACGUAGGUCUUGUAAAGGACACUUAUGCUAUGUAUUUUUCAUUUUUCUAAACUUCAUACUUUUUAAGAUUUUAAAGAAAAACGAAUACAAAUCUUCCCAUUGACUUACAGUAGGCCAUUAUGACAUCAUUAUAGGGUUAUUAAACUGGCUUGCACCUGUGCUUCACUGACACCUGCGCCAAGGUUCCAAGGCUCCUCUUCUCUCUGUCCCUCUCCAUUCAACUGUAUAACUAGGAAUAUUAAGAGACACCUUCCAUACUCUACUUUUUUUUCUCUCCAUCUUUCUCUCUAUUCCUCUACCUCUACUUUCUCUCACACUCCAUCUCUCUGCUUCACUCCAUUUUCUCUCUUUUCAAUAUUUUCCCUCUUCACUCUCUCUUUACUGUCUUUAUCCAGAGCCACUCUUGUUCACUCUUCUUUCCUUUCUUCUUCCUUUCUUCCACUCUUCUUUCCUUCUUCCACUCUUCUUUCCUUUCUUCUUUCCUUCUUCCACUCUUCUUUCCUUCUUUCACUUUUCUUUACUUCUUCCACUCUUCUUUCCUUUCUUCUUUCCUUCUUCCACUCUUCUUUCCUUCUUCCACUCUUCUUUCCUUCUUUCACUCUUCUUUACUUUCUUCACUCUUCUUUCCUUUGUUCUUUCCUUCUUCGACUCUUCUUUCCUUUCUUCUUUCCUUCUUCCACUCUUCCACUCUUCUUUCCUUCUUUCACUCUUCUUUCUUUUCUUCUUUCCUUCUUCCACUCUUCUUUCCUUCUUCCACUCUUCUUUCCUUUCUUCUUUCCUUCUUUCACUCUUCUUUCUUUUCUUCUUUCCUUCUUCCAAUCUCCUUUCCUUUCUUCACUCUUCUUUACUUCUUUCCUUCUUCCACUCUUCUUUCCUUCUUCCACUCUUCUUUCCUUUCUUCACUCUUCUUUCCUUUCUUCUUUCCUUUCUUCUUUCCUUCUUCCACUCUUCUUUCCUUCUUUUACUCUUCUUUUACUCUUCUUUCCUUUCUUCUUUCCUUCUUUCACUCUUAUCUCUUUAUCCAUAGCCACUCCUGUUCACUCUUCUAUCCUUUCUUCUUUCAAUUACUCUGCCAUCAAUUCCUACACUUUUUUCAACUUUUUGGCAGCCUUCUUUGCCUUUACAGUCCUUUAUCCUCCCUCACACUUCAUCUCUCUGCUUCACUCCAUUUUCUCUCCUUUCAAUAUUUCCCCUCUUCACUCUCUGUUUAUCUCAUUAUCCA